UUGGGUCUUCAUCUACUCUGCUUCGACCAUAAUCCCGAAGACCAAUAGGGCGGAAUACCCUUCUCAGUCAAUCAAUCAGGAAAAUGGCUGUUGGGUCUGCUUCGAUCCCGAGGAAGGCCUCGAGACAUGUCUUUAAAGUGUAGACUUCUUUCUAACUUGAUCGGUCUGUCAGUCUGACCACUUCGGUAUAGGAUUCUAAGCAGUAUGCCUUCUACCCUUUUCCGACCAUGGUCAGGUCUUCUCUCGGCAGCAAAAAUCAAUCUUCUUCUAGCAUCAUCCUGGGCUCUCGAACGAGAACCCUCAGAAACCUGCUUGGAAGAAAUACCAGCAUGAGCACUCUUUGAAGGACCCAAUCAAUCCUUGACAGAUACUCAUUGUGUAGACGAAGUCAUAGCCAUCAGGUAUCCUUUAGAGGUAACUGUUCUACUCUU
rnacentral:lncRNA from 1 species